rnacentral:rRNA from 1 species
UACAGAGGUCCCAAGCGUUGUUCGGAUUCACUGGGCGUAAAGGGUGCGCAGGUGGGUUGGCAAGUUUGAUGUGAAGACCCCGGGCUUAACCCGGGAAUGGCAUUGAAUACUGCUGAUCUGGAGGAUCGGAGGGGGGACUGGAAUUCUUGGUGUAGCAGUGAAAUGCGUAGAUAUCAAGAGGAACACCAGUGGCGAAGGCGAGUCCCUGGACGAUACCUGACACUGAGGCACGAAAGCUAGGGGAGCAAACAGG